UCAAACUUGGUCAUUUAGAGGAAGUAAAAGUCGUAACAAGGUUUCCGUAGGUGAACCUGCGGAAGGAUCAUUACCGAGUUAGGGUGUCAAACUUAUGCGCCCGACCUCCAACCCUUUGUCUACUUGACCUUAUGUUGCUUCGGCAGGCCCGCUGGUGUCCCUUUGGGGCCCGGCCGCCGGGGGUCCUCGUGGCCCCGGGUCCGCGCCUGCCGAUGGCCCCUUCUUAAACUAUUGUUAAAACGUGUCGUCUGAGUUUAUGAUUAAACAAUCAAAACAAAACUUUCAACAACGGAUCUCUUGGUUCUGGCAUCGAUGAAGAACGCAGC
rnacentral:misc_RNA from 1 species